rnacentral:rRNA from 1 species
GAAUUUAAGCAUAUUAAUUAGGGGAGGAAAAGAAACUAACAAGGAUUUUCUUAGUAGCGGCGAGCGAAAAGAAAACAGUUCAGCACUAAGUCACUUUGUCUAUAUGGCAAAUGUGAGAUGCAGUGUAUGGAGCGUCAAUAUUCUAGUAUGAGAAAUUAACGAUUUAAGUCCUUCUUAAAUGAGGCCAUUUACCCAUAGAGGGUGCCAGGCCCGUAUAACGUUAAUGAUUACUAGAUGAUGUUUCCAAAGAGUCGUGUUGCUUGAUAGUGCAGCACUAAGUGGGUGGUAAACUCCAUCUAAAACUAAAUAUAACCAUGAGACCGAUAGUAAACAAGUACCGUGAGGGAAAGUUGAAAAGAACUCUGAAUAGAGAGUUAAACAGUACGUGAAACUGCUUAGAGGUUAAGCCCGAUGAACCUGAAUAUCCGUUAUGGAAAAUUCAUCAUUAAAAUUGUAAUAUUUAAAUAAUAUUAUGAGAAUAGUGUGCAUUUUUUCCAUAUAAGGACAUUGUAAUCUAUUAGCAUAUACCAAAUUUAUCAUAAAAUAUAACUUAUAGUUUAUUCCAAUUAAAUUGCUUGCAUUUUAACACAGAAUAAAUGUUAUUAAUUUGAUAAAGUGCUGAUAGAUUUAUAUGAUUACAGUGCGUUAAUUUUUCGGAAUUAUAUAAUGGCAUAAUUAUCAUUGAUUUUUGUGUUUAUUAUAUGCACUUGUAUGAUUAACAAUGCGAAAGAUUCAGGAUACCUUCGGGACCCGUCUUGAAACACGGACCAAGGAGUCUAACAUAUGUGCAAGUUAUUGGGAUAUAAACCUAAUAGCGUAAUUAACUUGACUAAUAAUGGGAUUAGUUUUUUAGCUAUUUAUAGCUAAUUAACACAAUCCCGGGGCGUUCUAUAUAGUUAUGUAUAAUGUAUAUUUAUAUUAUUUAUGCCUCUAACUGGAACGUACCUUGAGCAUAUAUGCUGUGACCCGAAAGAUGGUGAACUAUACUUGAUCAGGUUGAAGUCAGGGGAAACCCUGAUGGAAGACCGAAACAGUUCUGACGUGCAAAUCGAUUGUCAGAAUUGAGUAUAGGGGCGAAAGACCAAUCGAACCAUCUAGUAGCUGGUUCCUUCCGAAGUUUCCCUCAGGAUAGCUGGUGCAUUUUAAUAUUAUAUAAAAUAAUCUUAUCUGGUAAAGCGAAUGAUUAGAGGCCUUAGGGUCGAAACGAUCUUAACCUAUUCUCAAACUUUAAAUGGGUAAGAACCUUAACUUUCUUGAUAUGAAGUUCAAGGUUAUGAUAUAAUGUGCCCAGUGGGCCACUUUUGGUAAGCAGAACUGGCGCUGUGGGAUGAACCAAACGUAAUGUUACGGUGCCCAAAUUAACAACUCAUGCAGAUACCAUGAAAGGCGUUGGUUGCUUAAAACAGCAGGACGGUGAUCAUGGAAGUCGAAAUCCGCUAAGGAGUGUGUAACAACUCACCUGCCGAAGCAACUAGCCCUUAAAAUGGAUGGCGCUUAAGUUGUAUACCUAUACAUUACCGCUAAAGUAGAUGAUUUAUAUUACUUGUGAUAUAAAUUUUGAAACUUUAGUGAGUAGGAAGGUACAAUGGUAUGCGUAGAAGUGUUUGGCGUAAGCCUGCAUGGAGCUGCCAUUGGUACAGAUCUUGGUGGUAGUAGCAAAUAAUCGAAUGAGACCUUGGAGGACUGAAGUGGAGAAGGGUUUCGUGUGAACAGUGGUUGAUCACGAGUUAGUCGGUCCUAAGUUCAAGGCGAAAGCCGAAAAUUUUCAAGUAAAACAAAAAUGCCUAACUAUAUAAACAAAGCGAAUUAUAAUACACUUGAAUAAUUUUGAACGAAAGGGAAUACGGUUCCAAUUCCGUAACCUGUUGAGUAUCCGUUUGUUAUUAAAUAUGGGCCUCGUGCUCAUCCUGGCAACAGGAACGACCAUAAAGAAGCCGUCGAGAGAUAUCGGAAGAGUUUUCUUUUCUGUUUUAUAGCCGUACUACCAUGGAAGUCUUUCGCAGAGAGAUAUGGUAGAUGGGCUAGAAGAGCAUGACAUAUACUGUUGUGUCGAUAUUUUCUCCUCGGACCUUGAAAAUUUAUGGUGGGGACACGCAAACUUCUCAACAGGCCGUACCAAUAUCCGCAGCUGGUCUCCAAGGUGAAGAGUCUCUAGUCGAUAGAAUAAUGUAGGUAAGGGAAGUCGGCAAAUUAGAUCCGUAACUUCGGGAUAAGGAUUGGCUCUGAAGAUUGAGAUAGUCGGGCUUGAUUGGGAAACAAUAACAUGGUUUAUGUGCUCGUUCUGGGUAAAUAGAGUUUCUAGCAUUUAUGUUAGUUACUUGUUCCCCGGAUAGUUUAGUUACGUAGCCAAUUGUGGAACUUUCUUGCUAAAAUUUUUAAGAAUACUAUUUGGGUUAAACCAAUUAGUUCUUAUUAAUUAUAACGAUUAUCAAUUAACAAUCAAUUCAGAACUGGCACGGACUUGGGGAAUCCGACUGUCUAAUUAAAACAAAGCAUUGUG